GUUACUACAAUUUUCUGAAAAUACCAAGCAAAGAGGCCAAAACCACAAACAAAAAAAUAGCCAAUGUCCCAUACUUAAGAUUUUAUCAAGAUUGUUUACUAAGUAUUCCACGGAAGGAUUUGCUCCUGCCUCAUCAGAUUUCACAGCAUCUCUCCAGGGGAAACAGCAUGGGAACCAGGCAGUGUCUCCACCACAGAGAUUCCACUGCCACUCUCCAAGCAGGACAUCACACAACUUUGGGUGAUGGAUUUUCCAGUGACAGAAGAUGAGACAAGAAGAUGACAGAUGACAGAAGAAGUGGGAACCAAGUCAAGGAAAUCUAUCUAUGCUUUUCGUAACUUUGGCCUGCAUGGGCUUGCUUUCCAGAUAGGAAGAGCACAAUGUGAAAUAGUUGAAACAAGGCUCUGGGAAAGCUUUGGAAUCUGAAGAAUUUCCUAGUGGAAUGGGCAGCAGCUGAAGUUUCCACUGUCUGGACCUCCAUAAUAUGAAAUGACGAGAAAAUUUAACAUCAGACUGACUUUGCUACUAUGGAAAGCAGAUGUCUAUGUAUUUUUUAUUCACUAGACUUUCAACAAGGAUGUCAGACUGUGGGAGGAAAUCACCAAUUUUGUGGGAGACUGGAUUGUACUCAUCCAGCAACCAUCUUAUUUAUCUGUAAGCUGUUGUUGUUAAGUGGAGCGACUGUGAUGGCAGUAGAACAACAUUGCACGUGGAAACACAUGAAUGUAGCCCUGCUGUCUAAUGUUUUUGCAGAUAGCAUCAUGAGGUUUCCAGUAGAAAGCAUGAUAUGAGAGGGAGGCUUGAUACUACACUUUUGGAAAAAUACUUAGGAUCAUGGCGUACAAACUGAUUUAAAUCUUCCCCAAUACUUAAAACAGUUUAAUAUAACCUAAUACAGUUUUCCAUUGCCUUCUUCUGAAAUAUUUUUCAACUUUUUAGUCUAACCUUCAUAUUUGUGGGUGAUCCCUCAUCAAAGUACUCACAAGGUCUCAGUCUCCUUUUUUUUGAGGUCAGCUAGUUGCUCACAUCUAGUCCU